CCUAGGGUGGCUGCAGUGAGGAAUAUUGCACAAUGGGGGGAACCCUGAUGCAGCAACGCCGCGUGGAGGAUGACGCAUUUCGGUGUGUAAACUCCUUUUAUAUGUCAAGAAAAUGACGGUAGCAUAUGAAUAAGCACCGGCUAACUCCGUGCCAGCAGCCGCGGUAAUACGGAGGGUGCAAGCGUUACUCGGAAUCACUGGGCGUAAAGGACGCGUAGGCGGGUUGGAAAGUCAGGUGUGAAAUCCUACAGCUUAACUGUAGAACUGCACUUGAAACUGGUAACCUAGAGUAUGGGAGGGGGAGAUGGAAUUAGUGGUGUAGGGGUAAAAUCCGUAGAUAUCACUAGGAAUACCUAAAGCGAAGGCGAUCUCCUGGAACAUAACUGACGCUAAGGCGUGAAAGCGUGGGGAGCAAACAGGAUUAGAUACCCCAGUAGUC
rnacentral:rRNA from 1 species